rnacentral:rRNA from 1 species
GACAGAGGGGGCAAGCGUUGCUCGGAAUCACUGGGCGUAAAGGGCGCGUAGGCGGGAUGGCAAGUCAGUCGUGAAAUCUCUCGGCUCAACCGAGAAACGUCGGCUGAUACUGCCGUUCUUGAGGGAUGCAGAGGAGACUGGAAUUCCCGGUGUAGCGGUGAAAUGUGUAGAGAUCGGGAGGAACACCGGUGGCGAAGGCGGGUCUCUGGGCAUUCCUGACGCUGAGGCGCGAAAGCGUGGGAGCAACGGG